AUACGGAGGAUGCAAGCGUUAUCCGGAUUUAUUGGGUUUAAAGGGUGCGUAGGCGGUUUGCUAAGCGGGAGGUGAAAUGCCGGCGCUCAACGUCGGAAGUGCCUCCCGAACCGGUGGACUGGAAUGACUCUGCCGUGGGAGGAAUGUGUAGUGUAGCGGUGAAAUGCUUAGAGAUUACACAGAACACCGAUUGCGAAGGCGUCUCACGAAGGGUUGAUUGACGCUGAGGCACGAAAGCGUGGGGAUCAAACAGGAUUAGAUACCCUGGUAGUCCACGCAGUAAACGAUGAUGGCUAACCGCUGGUUUUUUCGGAUCAGUGGCCAAGCGAAAGCGAUAAGCCAUCCACCUGGGGAGUACGACCGCAAGGUUGAAACUCAAAGGAAUUGACGGGG
rnacentral:rRNA from 1 species